GGCAUAACCCCGGGAAACUGGGGAUAAUUCCGGAUAACGCACAUAUGCUGGAAUGCUUUAUGCGUAAAAUGGAUUCGUCUGCCCAAGGAUGGGUCUGCGGCCUAUCAGGUAGUAGUGGGUGUAAUGUACCUACUAGCCAACAACGGGUACGGGUUGUGAGAGCAAGAGCCCGGAGAUGGAUUCUGAGACAUGAAUCCAGGCCCUACGGGGCGCAGCAGGCGCGAAAACUUUACAAUGCGGGAAACCGUGAUAAGGGGACACCGAGUGCCAGCAUCAUAUGCUGGCUGUCCAGGUGUGUAAAAUACACCUGUCAGCAAGGGCCGGGCAAGACCGGUGCCAGCCGCCGCGGUAACACCGGCGGCCCGAGUGGUGAUCGUGAUUAUUGGGUCUAAAGGGUCCGUAGCCGGUUUGGUCAGUCCUCCGGGAAAUCUGACGGCUCAACCGUUAGGCUUUCGGGGGAUACUGCCAGGCUUGGAACCGGGAGAGGUAAGAGGUACUACAGGGGUAGGAGUGAAAUCUUGUAAUCCCUGUGAGACCACCUGUGGCAAAGGCGUCUUACCAGAACGGGUUCGACGGUGAGGGACGAAAGCUGGGGGCACGAACCGGAUUAGAUACCCGGGUAGUCCCAGCCGUAAACGAUGCUCGCUAGGUGUCAGGCAUGGCGCGACCGUGUCUGGUGCCGCAGGGAAGCCGUGAAGCGAGCCACCUGGAAGUACGGCCGC
rnacentral:rRNA from 1 species